GCAUAUCAAUAAGCGGAGGAAAAGAAACUAACUAGGAUUCCCUUAGUAACGGCGAGUGAACCGGGAUGAGCUCAAAUUUAAAAUCUGGCGUCUUUCAGGCGUCCGAGUUGUAAUCUAUAGAGGCGUUUUCCGCGCCGGACCGCGUCCAAGUCUCUUGGAAUAGAGUAUCAAAGAGGGUGACAAUCCCGUACUUGACGCGACAACCGGUGCUCUGUGAUACGUUCUCAAUGAGUCGAGUUGUUUGGGAAUGCAGCUCUAAAUGGGUGGUAAAUUCCAUCUAAGGCUAAAUAUUGGCGAGAGACCGAUAGCGAACAAGUACCGUGAGGGAAAGAUGAAAAGCACUUUGGAAAGAGAGUUAAACAGCACGUGAAAUUGUUAAAAGGGAAACGAUUGAAGUCAGUCGUGUGAAAGGUAUUCAGCCGUCUCUGGCGGUGUAUUUGCCUUUCACGGGUCAACAUCAGUUUGAUCCGGUAGAAAAAGGCGGGAGGAAGGUGGCACCCUCGGGUGUGUUAUAGCCUCCUGUCAUAUGUGCCGGACCAGACUGAGGAACGCAGCUUGCCGCAAGGCCGGGGUUCGCCCACGUACAAGCUUAGGAUGUUGACAUAAUGGCUUUAAACGACCCGUCUUGAAACACGGACCAAGGAGUCUAACAUAUCUGCGAGUGUUUGGGUG
rnacentral:rRNA from 1 species